rnacentral:rRNA from 1 species
AACGAACGUUGGCGGCGUGGAUGAGGCAUGCAAGUCGAACGCGAAAGUCCUGGAUGAGUAGAGUGGCGGACGGGUGAGUAACGCGUAGGAAUCUAUCCUGUAGUGGGGGAGUAACGUUUCGAAAGGAACGCUAAUACCGCAUACGCCCCAAGGGGGAAAGGCGGGGGAGUCUUCGGACCUCGUGCUAUAGGAGGAGCCUGCGUCGGAUUAGCUAGUUGGUGAGGUAAAGGCUCACCAAGGCGACGAUCCGUAGCUGGUCUGAGAGGAUGAUCAGCCACACCGGAACUGAGACACGGUCCGGACUCCUACGGGAGGCAGCAGUAAGGAAUAUUGGACAAUGGCCGCAAGGCUGAUCCAGCCAUGCCGCGUGCAGGAAGACGGACC